GACGAACGCUGGCGGCGUGCCUAAUACAUGCAAGUAGAACGCAGUUUCGAACGGGUGAGUAACGCGUAGGUAACUGCCUCAUAGCGGGGGAUAACUAUUUGAAACGAUAGCUAAUACCGCAUACUUUUAGAUGGACCUGCGUUGUAUUAGCUAGUUGGUGAGGUAAAGGCUCACCAAGGCCACGAUACAUAGCCGGCCUGAGAGGGUGGUCGGCCAACCUGGGACUGGGGACAGGCUCAGACCCCUUCGGGAGGUAGCAGGAGGGAAUCUUCGGAAAUGGGCGGAAGGCUGACCGAGCAAAGCCGGGGGAGUGAAGAAGGUUUUCGGAUCGGAAAGCUCUGUUGUGAGAGAAGCGGUACCUAACCAGAAAGGGACGGCUAACUACGUGCCAGCAGCCGCGGUAAUAC
rnacentral:rRNA from 1 species